rnacentral:rRNA from 1 species
GACAGAGGGGGGCAAGCGUUGCUCGGAAUCACUGGGCGUAAAGGGCGCGUAGGCGGGACGCCAAGUCGGUCGUGAAAUCUCCGGGCUCAACCCGGAGGAGUCGGCCGAAACUGGUGUUCUUGAGGGAGGCAGAGGAGUCUGGAAUUCCCGGUGUAGCGGUGAAAUGUGUAGAGAUCGGGAGGAACACCGGUGGCGAAGGCGGGACUCUGGGCCUACCCUGACGCUGAGGCGCGAAGGCGUGGGGAGCAAACGGG